UCACUUUUACAUAAGUGAAGGUUUAUGGGACCAAUAAUCCAUCUCCUAAAUUUAGAGGACCGUUUAGUCAAUAAGAGACCCUUUAAAAGUGGUGAAACAGAAACAAUCCCCUAACUGGCCCCUAAAAAUGCUUAAGGGUCACUUAAAUCUUAUGGGUCGUUGGUGAAAUUGGGCAUUAGUCUGAUCUGUCUAGCUUAAUUUG